AUUGAACGCUGGCGGCAUGCUCUACACAUGCAAGUCGAACGGUAACAGGCCGCCAGGUGCUGCCGAGUGGCGAACGGGUGAGUAAUGCAUCGGAACGUGCCCAGUCGUGGGGGAUAACUACUCGAAAGAGUAGCUAAUACCGCAUACGAUCUAUGGAUGAAAGCGGGGGACCGUAAGGCCUCGCGCGAUUGGAGCGGCCGAUGUCAGAUUAGGUAGUUGGUGGGGUAAAGGCUCACCAAGCCAACGAUCUGUAGCUGGUCUGAGAGGACGACCAGCCACACUGGGACUGAGACACGGCCCAGACUCCUACGGGAGGCAGCAGUGGGGAAUUUUGGACAAUGGGCGCAAGCCUGAUCCAGCAAUGCCGCGUGCAGGAAGAAGGCCUUCGGGUUGUAAACUGCUUUUGUACGGAACGAAACGGCUCUGGUUAAUACCCGGGGCUAAUGACGGUACCGUAAGAAUAAGCACCGGCUAACUACGUG
rnacentral:rRNA from 1 species